rnacentral:rRNA from 1 species
AGCCACAGCCAUAUUACCCUGCAGCCCAAGACUGGUCAUGCACUGAAGUCAAGCAGGGCUGAAUCUGGUCAGUAUAUGGAUGGGAGACCACAUGGGAAAACUAGGUUGUCUU